AUAGUUUCAGGUUUUGUGUUUGAAUCUUUGGUUCAUUUUUACUUGAUUUUAUAUAUGUUGUAAGGUAACGUUUUUGCAUGUUGAUAUUUCAAUUCUUUUUUGCAUGUAGAUAUUCAGAUUCAUAGCACCAUUUGUUUAAAGCAUGCUUUUCUUCUUUACCCUGUUUUUCUGUCUUGGUUCAUGAAACAGGAACUUCUUUAAAUUCUUUUAAACUCUCACCCUCUUGGGCAGUAAUUGAGGAAAGGACUUCCACCUUUCUCUCUUGCCUAUUCCUAGCUGCAUUCCAUUGUAGGAGAGACUUUUUGGAUUACUGUUUAUGUUUCACAUCGCUUGCUUCACUCCUCGGCCAUGUGAUAGCCUCAUAUCAGAACCCAGCUUGAACAAACUAAGCCAAGGCUCUCUGCUCAUUUGCUGACUUUAAUGAAAGGACACCCAAGUGGCAAGAACUGAAAGAGGCUUGUAGGAAUUGGGGAUGGCCUCUAGCCAGCAACCUGCAAGAUUAUGAGGCUGUCAGUCCUACAACUAUAAGGAAAUAAAUCCUGCUGACAACCUGAAAGAGCUUAUAGCAUGGGAGGGGUUGAUGUGGAUCAUUGGAAAAUACAGUCUGCCACAAAUGGACAUAAACGAAAGUCUCCUUAUAGAUAGUUAAGAAAGCCAUGUUGGUUCACCACAUGUAUCACAUCCUGAUAAUGUGAAGUGAAAAAGUAAAGCCUGGAAGCCUUUGUAAGACGACUGUGCCAGAGGAGGAAGAUAAAUAUCUCGAUGCUAUGGAGGCCUGUCAGCUCUUUGAAGUACCUGGGCAAUAUCAAGAUUUCUACUUCAGAUGAAAAAACAAACAGUUAUUCAUUGACCCUGUUGCUGACAAGAAAGAGGUGAAAGGUGAGCCCCCAGCCACGGAAAGAUCCAGCCAAGUAAGGAACUGCAAAAUACUGAAUGACUAAUUCUCCAAACAAGG
rnacentral:antisense_RNA from 1 species